GUGGGGAAUUUUGGACAAUGGGCGCAAGCCUGAUCCAGCGACGCCGCGUGGAGGACGAAGGCCUUCGGGUUGUAAACUCCUUUUGGAGGGGAAGAAUAAAUUGACGGUACCCUCAGAAAAAGCCACGGCUAACUACGUGCCAGCAGCCGCGGUAAUACGUAGGUGGCGAGCGUUACUCGGAAUUACUAGGCGUAAAGCGAAUGUAGGUGGUUAGAUAAGUCUAUGGUGAAAUUUCCUGGCUUAACUGGGAAGGGACAUAGAUACUAUCUGGCUUGAGUGUGGGAGGGGGAGACGGAAUUCCUGGUGUAGCGGUGAAAUGCGUAGAUAUCAGGAGGAACACCGAUGGCGAAAGCAGUCUCCUGGCCCAAUACUGACACUGAGGUACGAAAGCUAGGGUAGCAAACAGGAUUAGAAACCCGUGUAGUCC
rnacentral:rRNA from 1 species